UCCAACACCAGUUCUCGUACGGUCACAAAAGUUAAACAAUGUUGAGCCUAGACAGUACCUAGAUGGGUGACCAUUUGGGAAUACCAGGUCCUGUAAG